ensembl:snoRNA small nucleolar RNA SNORA42/SNORA80 family
GCAUGGGUUUGGAUUUACACCAGGCCCAUCCCCCUAGGUCUCUCCCAUGGUGCCCCAUGCCAGAGCAAACUAUGGCCUUGAACCAUUGCCUGGCCUUUGCCUAUAGGACGCAGGCAAUGAAGUGAGUUGCACAGUG